rnacentral:rRNA from 1 species
UGGUAUUUUGACUAUACGAAGGUAUUGAAAUAAGAUUUUAAAUGAGUGCUAAGAGAAUGAUUAAACAAUUAAAAGCUUUCUUUAAUUGAAUAAUUGAAUUUAAUUUUUUAGUGCAAAAGCAAAAAUAAAAAUUAGGGACAAGAAGACCCUAUGAAUUUUUUAUUAAAUUUUAUAAAACUUUAUAUAAAAUUUAAUUUAAUUGGGGUGAUGGAAAAAGAAUAAAUAUCUUUUUUUUUAAAAAAAAUUGGUUCCGUUUUUAGCGAUUAAAUGAAAAAAAUACUCUAGGGAUAACAGCGUAAUAAUUUUGGAUAGUUCAUAUAGAUAAAAUAGUUUGCGACCUCGAUGUUGGAUUAGGAUUCUUUUUUGGUGAAGAAGUUAAAAAAAGAAG